CCUGAUAGUGGGGGACAACGUCUCGAAAGGGACGCUAAUACCGCAUACGUCCUACGGGAGAAAGCAGGGGACCUUCGGGCCUUGCGCUAUCAGAUGAGCCUAGGUCGGAUUAGCUUGUUGGUGAGGUAAUGGCUCACCAAGGCGACGAUCCGUAACUGGUCUGAGAGGAUGAUCAGUCACACUGGAACUGAGACACGGUCCAGACUCCUACGGGAGGCAGCAGUGGGGAAUAUUGGACAAUGGGCGAAAGCCUGAUCCAGCCAUGCCGCGUGUGUGAAGAAGGUCUUCGGAUUGUAAAGCACUUUAAGUUGGGAGGAAGGGCAGUCAGCGAAUACCUGGUUGUCUUGACGUUACCGACAGAAUAAGCACCGGCUAACUCUGUGCCAGCAGCCGCGGUAAU
rnacentral:rRNA from 1 species